UAUUUUAGAUCCAUUACUUGUAAUUUACACACCAAUGACAUAUGGCAUAAAGACAAAAUAUACAGAUUUUCAUAUAUACAUACAGGAAUCAACACAGUACACAAUUUGAAGUUAUGUUACAAUUAAGUGUACAAUUUUAAAUAUGGCUUUGUAAACUAGUAGUAAUAACAGUGCUAAAAUAAUGUAUGUCUUGUGAAUUCAUCAACAAACAACGUAAUGCAACUACAGCAUUAAAGUCCUCAUUUAGCAAUGUGUUACUCCACUUUGUUAGGAAAACCUUGUACACCGUACAGAGCUGGACACAUCCCUCCCCCAUACCCACCGUAUAUGCCUUGUUCUUGGCUGAUUUUGCACCCCGAAGAUUAAAACUUUGGGGCCCGCAUUCUUCAAGUGUUCUGAAAAAUAAAAACCUGUACAAUCAAGAGAAGCCCACUCUUAAGAACAAAUUAAAAAGCAAGGGAAGAGCAUAUGCAAACACUGUGCCCAGUGACAACAUCAUCGCAACCAGUGAAGCUUAAAAAGAUUUUUUUAUUAUUAUUAUUUUUAAAGAGUUUAAAAAACAAACAACCAGUGUCACAUCUUGUCUGUCUUCCUCUAGUGAACAGCCCCAGUAAGGUAAAUUUCAGCAUGAGGGCUUCCAAAUGACCCAGACAGAGAAUUGAGAGAAGUGGUAAAUUCUGGGUCACUUGGAAGCCCAGUUGGAAACCUCUGGCCCUUCUGAAGCCAGUGGCACUUCUGCCAGUGUCUUCAAAGGGGAGGAUCUUGCUGUUCUGCAGAAGCUGAAUGCCUUUUGGAAGCAGAUGCUCUAUUUCUGCUUAAGUUUCUUGAGCUGGAUGUGGAAAUCGUUAAGAAUGAAAUUCUAGGGUCCUUUUUAUGUAUGAGUCACACUCAAUGCCCAUAACUAUCUCUGGCCUCAAAAUCUGCCAGCUGGGCAAACAGGAUGCAGUACUCACGGCUCAGCACCGCAGUGACUCACUGAACGUUUUCAUCGAUUAAGAUUCCCAUACUGCACACAGACAUCCCGUUGCUUUCCAAACACCUCAGGAACCUGUGAAAAUCUCUGCUGAGAAGUUCUUCAUGUUAGCACGUACAGGGAAGGCGUGCAAGAAAAGCUCUUCACAAUGGCCAUCAGAGAGCACUGCCCAAAAUUGCUCAGACAGAGCUGAUCUGUGCUGCAACGCUUUUCUCAGCUAAGCAAAGCUGUAAAGAUUGAGGUCACUAGCCUGAAAAUCCAUGCACCCAUUCCACCCUCACACAGGAGGCCCACAUAGUAUGGGGCAAUGGAGAAGGUCUCCCCUUGACAGGGCACCAGUGGGUCGCAAUGGCCCAUGCACCCCACUGGGCACCAUCAGAAGGAAGCUGCAGCCAUUGCAGUGCCAUGCAAAGGAGCCAGACCAAAAGGGAUCCUUUCCUCCUUGUCCACAGCCCAGACAGUGUUCCUCCAGAUCACAGCCACUGACAGGUAUGGGCAUGACUUACCCCUACACUACGUAUAUCCAUUUCCAUAUACUAGCUACAGUGCUGUUCAACGUAACUCUGCAUUUGAAGAGCAUAAUUUGCUUUAUUUUGAUUGAUUAUAGGCCUGAUUUAUAAUUUUGCAGUAUUUGGUGAUGGGGGUGGGGGGGUUAGAUUAAGUAGCCACUUGUCAGGAAACAGAUUCAAAUUCUUCAAACAUCUAAGGACAAGACCCACUUGAAUUCAUCCCCUGCCACAGAAAUUUUGCUUGGUGAGCUGCCCUGCAUAAAUCUGCACAUAACACACUUUUCCAGAAGGCAGUAUUUUGUACGGCUCAGUAUCUGACAGAUACAACCCUUUCAAUGAAGACAGUAUGAAGCUGUCAUGAUUACUUGAGCAGACAUCACUGACAAAAGGAAAUUUGUGCCUGAACUAUUGCUGCAGAAAUAUUUCAGGCAAUAUUUUUUCAAAGAGAAUACAGAUCUGGAGGGACAUUGCCAAGGUUUUAAAGAUCAAAAUGUGUGACUUGCAGUGUUGUAAUUGGAUGGGAACAGUCCUCCAGAUCUGAAACAUCAGGUCUGGUUUGGUUCUUAAAUCAAGCCCCACAUUUGUACAAUUUCUGUAGGACCUAUACAGCCCAGCAUCUCUCUCUCCACUUGGUAACAGUGAGCUCUGCUGACAGAGCCAGCAAUGCUGACACUGACACACAAAUCCAUCCUGACACGAUGGAGUGUUACGCAAUCAAACACUGCAAUUCACAGUUCAAAAAAAAAAAAAAAGAAAAGAA
ensembl:lncRNA